rnacentral:rRNA from 1 species
UACGUAGGGUGCGAGCGUUGUCCGGAAUUACUGGGCGUAAAGGGCGCGUAGGCGGCCUUCUAAGUCGAACGUGAAAUCCCCGGGCUCAACCCGGGAACUGCGUCCGAUACUGGAAGGCUUGAAUCCGGGAGAGGGAUGUGGAAUUCCAGGUGUAGCGGUGAAAUGCGUAGAUAUCUGGAGGAACACCGGUGGCGAAGGCGACAUCCUGGACCGGUAUUGACGCUGAGGCGCGAAAGCGUGGGGAGCAAACAGG